GAGUGAACACCCCGGGGCAAGAUGGCGGUCAGGCCUCGGCUCCUGCCCCGGGUCAGGCAGAGCUCGGGGGUCUUGGGCUGAGGCGGUGGUAAACUGCGGCCCCGACCCCGACCGCGGGGGCCUCGAGCGGAUAAAGGUCUACGGCCUGCGGAAAACACAAGCUCCUCUGAAGUGAGAAGCUGUCCUCAGCUGUGAGCCCUGUGCAAAAUCACUAAUGACUGAUUACCUGACAUUUCUGCGUCACCGGCAGGUCCUCAGGGUUUGUGCAAGUUUGCAGACAUGUUCACUGUUUCUCAGACCUCGAGAGCUUGGUUCAUUGAUAGAGCCCGUCAGGCUCGAGAGGAAAGGCUGGUGCAGAAGGAGCGGGAGAGGGCAGCUGUGGAGAUUCAGGCCCACGUACGGAGUUUUCUCUGUCGGCGUCGACUGCAAAGGGAAGUCAGGAGAGAGAUUGAUGAGUUUUUUAAAGAAGAUGACUCUGGGUCCAGUAAAAGAAGUGCACUUUGUAUUUUUAAGACUGCCAGGAAACUGCUGUUCUUGUUCAGAAUUAAAGAGGAUGAUGAGAGAUUUGAGAAGUUGUGUCGCUGCAUCCUGAGCAGCAUGGAUGCUGAGAAUGAACCCAAGGUAUGGUACGUGUCCCAGGCUCUUUCCAAGGAUCUCACCCUCCUAUGGAUUAAACAGAUCAAAGACAUUCUGUGGUAUUGCUGUGAGUUUCUUGAGCAGCUCAAGCCUGAAAUUUUACAAGACUCCAAACUCAUCACACUGUACCUCACGAUGCUUGUCACCUUUACAGACACUUCAACAUGGAAAAUUCUCCGGGGAAAAGGUGAGAGUCUUCGACCAGCCAUGAACCGCAUUUGUGCAAAUAUAAUGGGCCAUCUCAACCAGCAUGGAUUUUAUUCUGUGCUGCAGGUAUUGUUAACCCGUGGCCUGGCGAGACCCCGACCUUGUCUGUCCAAAGGCACUUUAACAGCAGCCUUUUCCCUAGCAAUGCGCCCUGUGAUUGCUGCACAAUUUUCAGACAAUCUGAUCCGGCCGUUCCUCAUCCACAUCUUGUCUGUGCCCGCUCUCGUGACUCAUCUCAGCACAGUGACCCCCGAGCGCCUCACUAUUUUAGAAUCUCAUGACAUGCUCCGUAAAUUCAUCACAUUUUUAAGAGACGAAGAUCGAUGCCGUGAUGUAUGUGAAAGUUUAGAAGGAUGCCAUACACUUUGUCUCAUGGGCAACCUCCUGCACUUGGGCUCCCUCAGCCACAGGGUGUUAGAGGAGGAGACAGAUGGGUUUGUGAGUUUGCUCACCCAAAUGCUCUGCUACUGUCAGAAGUACGUGUCCCAGAAGAAAUCCAACCUGACCCACUGGCACCCUGUCCUUGGCUGGUUCUCCCAAUCCGUGGACUAUGGCCUUAACGAGUCCAUGCCCUUGGUCACCAGACAGCUGCAGUUCCUGUGGGGGGUGCCUCUGAUCCGCAUCUUCUUCAGUGACAUCCUGAGCAAGAAGCUGCUGGAGAACCAGGAGCCGGUCCACGCGCCGCCAGCGUCCCCACAGAAUGUGCUUCCCGUGAAGACUCUCCUGAAACGUGCAUUUCAGAAGUCGGCGUCAGUUCGGAAUAUUCUCAGGCCUGUUGGGGGUAAACGUGUUGAUUCUGCGGAGGUACAGAAGGUUUGCAACAUCUGCGUCCUCUACCAGACCUCGCUGACGACUCUUACCCAGAUCCGGCUGCAGAUACUCACAGGUCUCACUUACCUUGAUGACCUGCUGCCCAAACUUUGGGCGUUUAUCUGUGAACUGGGGCCCCACGGAGGGUUAAAGCUCUUCUUGGAAUGCCUCAACAAUGACACUGAAGAGUCUAAGCAGCUCUUGGCCAUGCUGAUGCUGUUCUGUGACUGUUCCCGGCACCUCAUCACGAUCCUUGAUGACAUUGAAGUUUAUGAAGAACAGAUUUCAUUCAAACUGGAAGAACUGAUCACCAUCUCCUCUUUUCUGAAUUCCUUUGUGUUUAAGAUGAUCUGGGAUGGAAUCGUAGAGAAUGCCAAGGGCGAGACCUUGGAGCUGUUCCAGUCCGUCCACGGGUGGCUGAUGGUGCUGUACGAGCGGGACUGCCGGCGGCGCUUCGCCCCCGAGGACCACUGGCUGCGAAAGGAUCUCAAACCUAGCGUGCUUUUCCAGGAACUUGACAAGGACAGAAAACGGGCUCAGCUGAUCCUGCAGUACAUCCCGCACGUCAUUCCUCACAAAAACAGAGUUCUCCUGUUCCGAAACAUGGUGACCAAGGAGAAGGAGAAACUGGGGCUUGUGGAAACCAGCUCCGCCUCCCCUCAUGUCACUCACAUCACCAUCCGCCGGUCCCGGAUGUUGGAGGAUGGCUACGAGCAACUUCGGCAGCUCUCCCAGCACGCCAUGAAGGGCGUCAUCCGCGUGAAGUUUGUCAAUGACCUCGGGGUGGACGAGGCAGGGAUUGAUCAAGAUGGCGUUUUCAAGGAGUUCUUGGAAGAGAUCAUCAAGAGGGUGUUUGACCCGGCGCUCAACCUGUUCAAGACGACCAGUGGGGACGAGAGACUCUACCCUUCGCCCACGUCCUACAUUCAUGAGAAUUACCUGCAGCUCUUUGAGUUUGUGGGCAAGAUGCUGGGGAAAGCUGUGUAUGAGGGGAUUGUGGUGGACGUGCCCUUUGCAUCCUUCUUCCUGAGCCAGCUGCUCGGGCACCACCACAGUGUCUUCUACAGCUCUGUGGAUGAACUGCCUUCUCUGGACUCCGAGUUCUAUAAAAACCUCACUUCCAUUAAGCGGUACGAUGGGGACAUUGCUGACUUGGGCCUGACACUGUCAUAUGAUGAGGAUGUCAUGGGUCAGCUUGUUUGCCAUGAACUGAUUCCUGGAGGGAAGACCAUUCCUGUUACAAAUGAAAAUAAAAUUAGCUACAUCCAUCUGAUGGCCCACUUUCGAAUGCACACUCAAAUCAAGAACCAGACAGCUGCCCUCAUUAGUGGAUUCCGUUCCAUCAUCAAACCUGAGUGGACCCGGAUGUUCUCGACCCCUGAGCUACAGCGACUCAUCUCCGGGGACAAUGCUGAGAUCGAUCUGGAAGAUUUAAAGAAGCACACAGUGUACUACGGUGGUUUCCAUGGAAGUCACAGGGUCAUUAUCUGGCUCUGGGAUAUCCUGGCCUCUGACUUCACGCCCGACGAGAGAGCCAUGUUUCUGAAGUUUGUGACCAGCUGCUCCAGGCCCCCUCUCCUGGGAUUUGCCUACCUCAAGCCUCCCUUCUCCAUCCGCUGUGUGGAAGUGUCGGAUGAUCAGGACACCGGGGACACCCUGGGCAGCGUCCUGCGCGGCUUCUUUACCAUCCGCAAACGGGAGCCAGGUGGCCGCCUGCCCACCUCCUCCACCUGCUUCAACCUGCUCAAGCUGCCCAACUACAGCAAGAAGAGCGUCCUGCGGGAGAAGCUGCGCUACGCCAUCAGCAUGAACACGGGCUUCGAGCUCUCCUAGCUCCCGUCCUCGCAGACUCUGGGCUCCCAGGCACCCUCAGCCCCAAGAGGCAGCAUUCCCCUGGGAGCACGACUGACGUGCCAGGGGACGGUGGCCCCCAUACCCUCUCUAUAGCCAUGAGACCCCUCUGUGGCCUCAAGAACUUUGGAUGCACGUGACAAAGCUACCCAGCACUCUCCAGGUGACACUAACAGGAAGGGGGUGUUGAAAAUAAACCUCCAGAUUCCGCCAGCAUUGGUCCUUCUUUCCUACUUUACAGUGGCCUGAAGCCGAGGCCUGUGAUGGCAGUGGGGCUUCUCUUUUUGUUAAUUUGGUCUUUUCGUGAGUUUCUGUUCCUUAACUUUCUGAGCGAGCCAUGCAUGAACAAGUCCCAGGAACACCAAGGCUCCGGAGUGGUUUUCAGGGCAUGGGCCUGAAUGCACGAAGCCGACCAAACGUGAGAUGCUCCCCUUCCGUUUCUGAAAACUCUUUACUCAGGUAAGGCCUUGCCAAGCCUCUAUGCACCCGACAGAGUCUCAGCGUCCGUGCCGUCCGCAGCAGCCUCUCUCCAGAUAGCCAGGCCCACCUGCUCCCAGGCGGCAGAGGUGCCUGCCGGUGAGACCACGGAGCACCGGAAGCUCAGGGCGCUGCUCCCUCCUCAGAGCCACGAGUUCCACUCGGCGGCGGUCCUCUGCCCGUUCUCACCUCAGAUGCUCCGGGUCCUCAGCAGCCGGGCUGCCAGGGAGCCCCUUCUGGCUUGCUCCCGUCUUGGGCACUCACGUUGGCAUCCUGAGUUUGGGAGAAAAAAACCCAUCGGUCCUUAAGAGCAGCUCCGUUUCCAGAAGGCGCUAGCUGUUACUCGAAGCCUGCUGAUUCCUGGGGAGGGCGGCUGCCUUUCCCCUGCUUGUUGGCCACACUUGUCGUCUAGUGAGGAACAAACACCAACUGAAGGAGCACUUUCCAACCGAGUGCCUGGAGAGCUCAAGAUGGGGCAUCUGGGGCUUAAAGAGCAUGCAGGCUCCCACCGUGGGAAGAAGACACAGAGGAUGAUACAGCAGACAGCCGGGGCUCACUGCCUCACCAGGGCCAACAGUGGUGGACAGUGUGUCACCUUUCAGAUAAAGCCAAAGCCCCCGUAGGCACCCUUCGUGCUCCCCAUCCUUCUCACGCAUUUCCCACAGGCAGCUUCCACCCUGGAUUAGACGCCUUCCACAGUAACGUAAAAUGGUGACAGGUGUUCGCGGAAAAGAAUCCAGAUAAUUCAAAAGUGCUCAAAGUAAGAUUUUCCAGCUAAUCUGGGUGUAUUCGGCUUUCCUCCAUUACUGAGGGUCGCAUUUGCAGGACACGCCGGCCCUGUCUCUUCCUGUUACACAAGCCCAGGUUUACACUCAGCAGAAAGCCCAUCUCAACCCUGCCAGUCUUUCCAGCUCCUCCCGUGAGUUCUUGCUGCCUCCCCUGGCCUGGGGGCACCUGAGGAUCUGAGCAUCAGGAGAGAGGUCUUGAAAGCCUGACAGUUGGGCCACAUGGGCUCCCAAGAGGAAUUGGCAUAUGCCAGGCUCCCUCCCACAGAGCAUUUAUAUCCUGCAAAGGAAAAACAUUCUGCAGAGUCCCCCACAUCCAUCAGUGGCCUCCAGUGUGGGACGCGCCCACCUAAACUAAAGCCUUAUCCUAUGAUAUUUUGGCUUUUAAUUACAAGUUAGUACUGCAAAGAGAAAGUUUGUCUUUAUAACUAGGAAAAACAAGUGGGGUGUUUUCCAUUACUAUUAAAAUGAGGACAAUUCAAUACACUGAUAGAACUUGCAAGUGCCUAAGAAUAUUUAGGUGGAACACAGGUCACCACUGUUUCUGACUCCAGCAAAGCCAUCAGCCUAUGUUUGUGCUGCUGAUGCAGCCGAUACACGCUGCUAACUGUGAGAGGUACGGACAGGCAGGUUGUCUCUAAGCCUGGCUAACGUGUAGACCCAGGGCCCCCCUUAGGCUGAAGUCUUAUUUCCUGGAAAUGUCUUAAAUUGAUAAGAGCUGGUGGAGAACUGUGGAAAGUGUUCAUUCGGU